rnacentral:tRNA from 1 species
GUGUCGGUAGACUCAACUGGAAGAGCACCUGGUUGUGGCCCGGGUCGUUAGGGGUUCGAAUCCCCUCCGACACCCCA